UGAGGAAUAUUGGUCAAUGGGCGAGAGCCUGAACCAGCCAAGUAGCGUGCAGGAUGACGGCCCUAUGGGUUGUAAACUGCUUUUAUAUGGGAAUAAAGUGAGGGACGUGUCCCUUAUUGCAUGUACCAUAUGAAUAAGGACCGGCUAAUUCCGUGCCAGCAGCCGCGGUAAUACGGAAGGUCCAGGCGUUAUCCGGAUUUAUUGGGUUUAAAGGGAGCGUAGGCUGUUUGUUAAGCGUGUUGUGAAAUGUAAGAGCUCAACUUUUAGAUUGCAGCGCGAACUGGCAGACUUGAGUGCGCACAACGUAGGCGGAAUUCAUGGUGUAGCGGUGAAAUGCUUAGAUAUCAUGACGAACUCCGAUUGCGAAGGCAGCUUACGGGAGCGCAACUGACGCUGAAGCUCGAAGGUGCGGGUAUCGAACAGG
rnacentral:rRNA from 1 species